CAGGGUACUCGAGUGGCGAACGGGUGAGUAACACGUGGGUGAUCUGCCCUGCACUUCGGGAUAAGCUUGGGAAACUGGGUCUAAUACCGGAUAGGAACCAUCUUUAGUGUGGUGGUUGGAAAGUUUUUUCGGUGUAGGAUGAGCUCGCGGCCUAUCAGCUUGUUGGUGGGGUAAUGGCCUACCAAGGCGGCGACGGGUAGCCGGCCUGAGAGGGUGUACGGCCACAUUGGGACUGAGAUACGGCCCAG
rnacentral:rRNA from 1 species